GGUCUGCUGUGAUGAACUGCAUGUUCAGUCCGUGUUUCACCUGAAUAUACCCUGAUUACACACAUGCCCUGAGCAGACU